GCUGAGCUAGCUGCCUCGCGAGGCGGUUAGCUCAUCAAGUUGCUCUCGUGUGCGGCGGGCUUAAAGCCCGGCGCACACUAGAGCUAUGUGCUUAGCAAAAUGUCAUUCGUGACUGUUGGCGUAAGGAGAAAGCUCUCGUGUGCGGUGCACUUUUGCAAGUUUUUCGUCACUCGUGACGCGUAAGACAAAUAUCCAACGUGUUGAAU